rnacentral:misc_RNA from 1 species
GAUGAAGAACGCAGCGAAAUGCGAUACUUGGUGUGAAUUGCAGAAUCCCGUGAACCAUCGAGUCUUUGAACGCAAGUUGCGCCAGAAGCCAUUAGGCCGAGGGCACGCCUGCCUGGGCGUCACACGUCGUUGCCCCCCCAUCUACUCCUUCGGGAUUGCGGGGGGCGGAUGAUGGCCUCCCGUGCGCCUCGUCGCGCGGUUGGCAUAAAUGCCAAGUCCUCGGCGACGCACGCCACGACAAUCGGUGGUUGCGAAACCUCGGUUGCCCGUCGUGUGCGGUCGUCGCGCAUCGAGGGCUCGAAAAAAUUGCCGGGCUCCGGCUCGGCUUUCAACGCGACCCCAGGUCAGGCGGGGUUACCCGCUGAAUUUAAGCAUAUCAAUAAGGGAGGA